rnacentral:lncRNA from 1 species
CAGGAUUUAGAAGCUGGCAUUUUCUGCAUGAUAGUUGUCUAUCACAAAAUGGAAGCAAGGUCAUUAUACGAGCAGGAAUUUUUAUUAAACAAACGAAAACACACCAUUACGACGAUCAAAGUUAAUGAAUCUUUAGCCGACAAUAUUCGGAGAUCUCUCUCUAUAUUGAUUGACCGCAUGCCUGGACAUGGACAGUACAUCUCAACAUCGAAGGCCUGGUCUGAAAUUUCAAUCCCAAAGCCAUGCAGCUACCUGUUUUAUCGACUUCAACAAAGAUGACAGGCAAAGAAGUUGCGUCUACGGAAUUUGAACUCAGAACGU